rnacentral:rRNA from 1 species
CAGUAGCCACGGGAAUACGAAGGGGGCUAGCGUUGCUCGGAAUGACUGGGCGUAAAGGGCGCGUAGGCGGAUUGUUUAGUUAGGCGUGAAAUUCCUGGGCUUAACCUGGGGACUGCGCUUAAUACAGGCAGUCUAGAGUGAGGAAGAGGGUUGUGGAAUUCCCAGUGUAGAGGUGAAAUUCGUAGAUAUUGGGAAGAACACCGGUGGCGAAGGCGGCAACCUGGUCCUUGACUGACGCUGAGGCGCGAAAGCGUGGGGAGCAAACAGGAUUAGAUACCCCUGUAGUCCCUGUCUCUUAUAC